rnacentral:rRNA from 1 species
CCUACGGGCGGCAGCAGUGAGGAAUAUUGGUCAAUGGACGAGAGUCUGAACCAGCCAAGUAGCGUGAAGGAUGACUGCCCUAUGGGUUGUAAACUUCUUUUAUAUGGGAAUAAAAUGUUCCACGUGUGGGAUUUUGUAUGUACCAUAUGAAUAAGGAUCGGCUAACUCCGUGCCAGCAGCCGCGGUAAUACGGAGGAUCCGAGCGUUAUCCGGAUUUAUUGGGUUUAAAGGGAGCGUAGGUGGAUUGUUAAGUCAGUUGUGAAAGUUUGCGGCUCAACCGUAAAAUUGCAGUUGAAACUGGCAGUCUUGAGUACAGUAGAGGUGGGCGGAAUUCGAGGUGUAGCGGUGAAAUGCUUAGAUAUCACGAAGAACUCCGAUUGCGAAGGCAGUUCACUGGACUGCAACUGACACUGAGGCUCGAAAGUGUGGGUAUCAAACAGGAUUAGAUACCCCAGUAGUC